CUUUUCAGGUCAGAAAAUGUAAUGAUGCGACAUGUUGUGUUCCGCCAGUUAUUCAGUUUCCUUGGCUGCCUGACCCAGAAAUUGCCUCGGAUGGUCAGCACUUCAAGCCCUUUGAUGAAGUACUUGGCUUUCCUACGACUGAAAAAGACCGUCCAUCUUCUCAAAGGCAAACCCUGACUGCUAUUGCGGAAGAUCAACAGGGCUGCAAGAAUUCAGUACUUGUUGGUCAGAAUGUCCGGCAGACGGUUCACUGCCAUGAAUGUGGGAAACCACGCUGUGUCUACUCAAAAUCCUCUUUCACAAGUCGUGAUACCAGGUCCUUCAAGUGACUGAUCGAGUCUCAUGACUACACUUGUGGGUCCAUCUUGACCCCUGAUGGUCACAUACUUCAAGGCAAGGCAUUUGUCAGACUUCAGAUGUGCUGUACCACUCCAAUCGAGUUUGCAUAUUUUGCAUCAUCGUCCAUCGUCCGCAAGGAUAUAUGUUGUCAUUGUGGGAGUUUCGGGGCAGAACGAGACAAGGAUCUCAUGCAGAACUAUCGCGUUGUAUUACCUGUUUGCAUUAAUUGCAAGCACCUUGGAUCUCCAAAGAGGAAUCCUAUUCGGAAAUGAAUAUGUUAACUAGUGUGUUAAUCUUAACUAUAAAACAGUACACUUU